CUGUGGUGUGCUGGAAGUGUGGGUAAAGCACUCAGGGUUUUUGUUCCUUUCCCAAUCUGAAGGCAGCAAGGGCAGGACCGCUGCGGUGGCAGUGAGAGACGGGCUUCUGGUUGUCUCUGGGAGCUCUCUAUCUUGGAGAUGCGCAGAGCUGCUGCUAAUGGGAAUGUUCAGCCAGGGGGUGAGACGGCUGCGCUGCUGGCCUGAGCCGGCCCUGCUUGGUGAAGAGUGGGGGCCGAGGGCUCACAGGAAAGGAGACUGGGCCCCUCUCUCUGCGGUGACUGUGGCGUGCUGGAGGCGCCAGUAA
rnacentral:lncRNA from 1 species